rnacentral:lncRNA from 1 species
GUCCUUUCCUAACUGUCAGGUCCUUUCCUAACGGUCUCCUUUCAGGUCCUUUCCUAACUGUCUCCUGUCAGGUCCUUUCCUAACGGUCUCACUGUGGUCAGUCUGCUCCUUCUGUGUAUUGUAUUGUAUUGUAUUUAAUUGCUGCACUUCUCUCCAAAACCAAAGAGUGAAGAAAUGUCCUCAUAUUUAUAAUCUAGAGCAGGUUCUAUUCUAAGAACCAGUGUUUUCCUUGAGGCAUUCUAUUCUCUAGCUCCUCCGAUAAUCUGUCAGUAACAUUCUCUAGCGAUCUCCCAGAUCCCCAUUCAGUAGUCACUAUUGUAUAGUAAGCACGUCUGUUUCACAGCGACAGAGGGGCGCCACUCUUGGUAAACUGUUUUUAAUGAGCUGUGAGGGAAUGACGGUACUGUUACACUGGUCUUAAAGUGGUAAUUUAACUGAAUAAUAAACCACAGGAAUCCACCAUAUCUACCAAAACAAACGACAAGCAGUUUGUAGUCAAAACACACAGAUUCUUUAUUCUCCAACACAUGAACCAAUUUAACGGUUUGAAGGGUUUCUAAUCGUUACGGAGUAGACUAC